rnacentral:misc_RNA from 1 species
UAAUAAGUGUUUAUGGCACUUUUUUAAAUCCAUAUCCACCUUGUGUGCAAUGUCAGUCGAUCUUCUUCAUGGAGAUCGACCAAACAUCAACCUUUAUCUUUUAACUCUUUGUCUGAAAAAUAUUAUGAAUAAACAAUUCAAAAUA